rnacentral:rRNA from 1 species
GCUUAAAGCGGCUGUAGCAGGUUUGGUAAAUCCUUUGUGAAAUCGUCGGGCUUAACGUGACGGAUUGCGGAGGACACUGCCAAGCUAGGGACCGGGAGGGGUCAGAAGUAUUCUGGGGGGACUGGUAAAAUGGUAUAAUCCCCAGAGGACUACCCGAUGGCGAAGGCAUCUGACCAGAACGGAUCCGACUGUGAGGGCCGAAAGCCAGGGGAGCGAACCGGAUUAGAUACCCGAGUAGUCCUGGCCGUAAACGCUGCGAGUUAGGUGUCGCGUAAACUACGGGUUUGCGCAGUGUCGAAACGAAGGUGAUAAACUCGCCGCCUGGGAAGUACGGUCGCAAGGCUGAAACUUUAAGGAAUUGGCGGGGGAGCACCACAAGGGGUGCGGCGUGCGGUUUAAUCUAACUCAACGCAGAGAAUCUCACUAGGGGCGACGGCCGGAUGAAGGUCAGCCUGAAGGGCUUACCUGACAAGCCGAGAGGUAGUGCAUGGCCAUCGUCAGCUCGUGCUGUAAAGUGUCCUCUUAAGUGAGGCAACGAGCGAGACCUGUAUCUACAAUUGCCAGCAACUGCUUGCAGGAUUGGGCACAUUGUAGAGACUGCCCUGGAAACAGGGAGGAAGGUGCAGGCUACGGUAGGUCUGUAUGCUCCGAAUCUCCUAGGCUACACGCGCGCAGCAAUGGUGAGGACAAUGGGAUGCGACUCCGAAAGGAGAAGCUAAACCUCUAAACCUUAUCCCAGUCCAGAUUGAGGAUUGUAACUCAUCCUCAUGACGACGGAAUCCCUAGUAAUCAGAGUUCAUCAUACUCUGGUGAAUAUGUCCCUGCUCCUUGGACUCACCGCCCGU